GAUGGUUGUUCUGGCCAGACCCUGUCCCUGUAGACUACACUAAAUACACUAGCAACUUCACCAUUCAAUACAAAAAUACUACUGAUGCAGACUUUAAUAGGAUUGCCAACUACACCAUCAGCUCGACCGCCCCAUUAGCCUUGACCAUAACCGGCCCUCCUAAAGACUUGUUCAGCGUGGGCAAAGACUACGAUCAGGUGAAGCUUUUCUUAUCGGACAUCACUGAUAACUACGCGGUCUUCCAGCGAUGCAUGGAUGACACCAUAAUUGGAC